AAAAAAAAAAAAAGAAAAAGAAAAAAUAUAUAUUUGGGGUGUUCGGGCUUCCUGAAGGUAAUACCCGGGUAUUAGGUUAUGGGGCUAGGGUAAGGUUUAAGGUUUUUGGCGUUAGAGUUAAAAUCAGUGUCCAAAACCUUUUUAGGAACAUGUUUAAGACCUUUUGGAGUUGGUUACACCAAAAAAAAAUGUAAAAUGAAAAAAAAAUAUUUGGGGUGUUCGGGCUUCCUGAAGGUAAUACCCCGGUAUUAGGUUUGGGGCUAGGGUUAGGUUUAAGGUUUUUGGCGUUAGAGUUAAAAUCACUGUCCAAA